GGCGUCGGAAAAUAGAUAGACGGGAAAUGAGCUAUCUAUGUGUGGUGGGUGAAGGUGUAUGGCUGCUGUGUAUGGUGGCUUAGAGUGUGUGAGAAAUAUGAGAGUGUGGAGAAGAAGAUCCUUAAGCCUCUCAUCCUUGGUCUAUUUAUAGGCAAAGGAUUAGGGUUUAAGGAUGUGUACCUUGGAUCCUGCCGUCCAUCUGUAGGGCUUGGAUGCUUAACACCUGUCCAGGUGUCAGCUAAGGAAUAGUAUUUUGGAGUGUUCUGAGGUUUGUCUUCAUAGUGUCAGUAGUUGACCAUUGAGCUUGGAUCCCGGUUCAUAUCCAGACUAAGUUCCGGCAGGACUGGUGUCCACCAACCCGGGUUGAUUGCCUCUCCAGGGUCAUGGAAUUCUCUCCGGGUUGGGUGCACCUCCGGGAUUGCGUCCUUGCAUUGUUGGUCCCUCGAACCAGGGUUGGAGUUGGUCUUGCUCCCGGUUCUUGGCGGGAUUGAGGUAACCCAAUCCGGAUUGGGAUACUUGUCAGGACAUGGUUGAACUAUUCUCACCAAUCCGGAUUCAUGUUCUGGAGUGGGUGGAUUAUUCUCCGCUGGGCCGAAUUCCUCCCGGGGUUGUGCUGAGUCUGGACCAGACUUGGCCAAGGACCUUGAGAAUACGGCCGGGUUGGAUUAUAUACUAUCAAUCAUAGGACUAGAUAAUAUUAAACUAAUUGUUAAAUUGAUGCAAUUAGGUGAUGCGCCGACAUAAUGACUUUAAAACCUUCCACAGCUUACCAAAUGAGUGCUCUGGAGGCCCUCUACACAGCUCUGUCUUUUAUGCUUUAUAAAAAACCACCUUGUGCUGAAGCAGGCAAGCAGGGAAAACACGCACUAGUAAGAUCUAGGUAAACUUAUGAUUCAGCAGUGAUUUGGUUAAGUAAACUCUUGAGGCUCAUAGCAUCCAUAAAACAGUCUGGUAUUAU
rnacentral:lncRNA from 1 species